rnacentral:ncRNA from 1 species
CAACCUCAACUCAUAUGGGACUACCCCCUGAAUUUAAGCAUAUUAAUUAGGGGAGGAAAAGAAACUAACAAGGAUUUUCUUAGUAGCGGCGAGCGAAAAGAAAUCAGUUCAGCACUAAGUCACUUUGUCUAUAUGGCAAAUGUGAGAUGCAGUGUACGGAACAUCAACAUUCUAGUAUGAGAAGUUAACGAUUUAAGUCCUUCUUAAAUGAGGCCAUUUACCCAUAGAGGGUGCCAGGCCCGUAUAACGUUAAUGAUUACUAGAUGGUGUUUCCAAAGAGUCGUGUUGCUUGAUAGUGCAGCACUAAGUGGGUGGUAAACUCCAUCUAAAACUAAAUAUAACCAUGAGACCGAUAGUAAACAAGUACCGUGAGGGAAAGUUGAAAAGAACUCUGAAUAGAGAGUUAAAUAGUACGUGAAACUGCUUAGAGGUUAAGCCCGAUGAACCUGAAUAUCCGUUAUGGAAAAUUCAUCAUAAGAAUUGUAAUAUUUUAAACAAUAUUAUAAUAAUAGUGUGCAUUUUUUUCCAUAUAAGGACAUUGUAAUCUAUUAGCAUAAAUAUUUAUCAUAAAAUUAUGUCUGAUUGCUUAUUUGAAUUAUAUGCUUGGCAUUUUAACAUAAAAUAAAAGAUAUAAAUUUGAUAAAGUGCUGAUAGAUUUAUAUGAUUACAGUGCGUUAAUUUUUCGGAAUUAUAUAAUGGCAUAAUUAUCAUUGAUAUUUGUGUUUAUUAUAUGCAUUUGUAUGAUUAACAAUGCGAAAGAUUCAGGAUACCUUCGGG